rnacentral:rRNA from 1 species
GGAAUAUUGGACAAUGGGGGCAACCCUGAUCCAGCCAUGCCGCGUGUGUGAAGAAGGCCUUCGGGUUGUAAAGCACUUUAAGUGGGGAGAAAGGUUCGCCGGCUAAUAUCCGGCGGAAUUGAUGCUACCCACAGAAUAAGCACCGGCUAACUCUGUGCCAGCAGCCGCGGUAAUACAGAGGGUGCAAGCGUUAAUCGGAAUUACUGGGCGUAAAGCGCGCGUAGGCGGCUGUCUAAGUCGGGUGUGAAAGCCCCGGGCUCAACCUGGGAACUGCACUCGAUACUGGGCGGCUAGAGUAUGAGAGAGGGAGGUAGAAUUCCACGUGUAGCGGUGAAAUGCGUAGAUAUGUGGAGGAAUACCGGUGGCGAAGGCGGCCUCCUGGUUCAAUACUGACGCUGAGGUGCGAAAGCGUGGGGAGCAAAC